rnacentral:rRNA from 1 species
UACAUAGGGUGCAAGCGUUAAUCGGAAUUACUGGGCGUAAAGCGUGCGCAGGCGGUUCUAUAAGACAGAUGUGAAAUCCCCGGGCUCAACCUGGGAACUGCAUUUGUGACUGUAGAGCUGGAGUACGGUAGAGGGGGAUGGAAUUCCGCGUGUAGCAGUGAAAUGCGUAGAUAUGCGGAGGAACACCGAUGGCGAAGGCAAUCCCCUGGACCUGUACUGACGCUCAUGCACGAAAGCGUGGGGAGCAAACAGG